rnacentral:tRNA from 1 species
AAAUAAGAAUUAAUAUAAUUGAAUUCAAUUUCGACUUGAAAGUUAGGUUACUAACCCUUAUUUU